rnacentral:rRNA from 1 species
UACGUAGGGUGCGAGCGUUGUCCGGAAUUAUUGGGCGUAAAGGGCUCGUAGGCGGUUUGUCGCGUCGGGAGUGAAAACCUCGGGCUUAACUCGGGGCUUGCUUUCGAUACGGGCAGACUGGAGGUAUGCAGGGGAGAACGGAAUUCCUGGUGUAGCGGUGAAAUGCGCAGAUAUCAGGAAGAACACCAAUGGCGAAAGCAGCUCUCUGGGACGGUACUGACGCUGAGACGCGAAAGCGUGGGGAGCGAACAGG